UCCACUAGGGCGCGCCCGACGCCUGCGCAUUGAGCUCAGGCGGGCACUCCCAGAAACACCCGCGGCGCGGCCUUUGGGCGAGCGGGUUCGAGCGGCGGAAUCCACGAACCGAGGGGAGGGUUAGUAGACUGGGCCUCCCAGCGUCCCGGCCGGCGAGCCGCAAGCUUCCUGGUGUUGGACUACAUUUCCCAGAGCCGCCGCGUCCCCAAUGCGGCUUCAUUUCCGUUUGUUCGUGCGAUUUGGGGGCCUCGCGUGGGGAGGGCAGCGUCUGGAGGAGCUUGGCCCGGCUCCCGUUGGGCGGGCGAACCCGAAAUCGGGGCUUGGACCCCAGGCGCCAGAUCCUGGAUCCUGAACUGCAGCUUCUGUCGAGAGCCCAGAAGAGGAAAAAAUGGCUGUUACACAUUCAAAACCAAAGUCCAAGACUUACCUUCAAGGAGUGCAAAUAAAGACUUAUCUCCAAAAAAGGAUACUUAUGAAA
ensembl:lncRNA